UGGGACGUAGGCAAGCGGUAAGCCACCGGUCUUUGGUACCGGCAUUACGCAGGUUCGAAUCCUGCCGUCCCAG
rnacentral:tRNA from 1 species